AAMCMKCCUUKGGGUGUUUCCUUGCSGCCCUYUUUUYCCUGCUCGCCCCGGCCGCYAGUGUGAUGGAUAUYUUURGKKRRMGCCCUUAGAGUUUGAUCCUGGCUCAGAACGAACGCUGGCGGCGUGCUUAACACAUGCAAGUCGAACGUGAUCCAGAGCUUGCUCUGGUGAAAGUGGCGCACGGGUGAGUAACGCGUGGAUAACCUGCCCUGGUAUCUGGGAUAACAUCUCGAAAGGGGUGCUAAUACCGGAUAAGCCUACGGGAUCUUCGGAUUCUGCAGGAAAAGGAGGCCUCUAUUUAUAAGCUUCCGUAUCAUGAUGGGUCCGCGUACCAUUAGCUAGUUGGUGGGGUAAUGGCCUACCAAGGCGACGAUGGUUAGCUGGUCUGAGAGGAUGAUCAGCCACACUGGAACUGAGACACGGUCCAGACUCCUACGGGAGGCAGCAGUGGGGAWUUUUGCGCAAUGGGGGAAACCCUGACGCAGCAACGCCGCGUGAGUGAUGAAGGCUUUCGGGUCGUAAAGCUCUGUCAGAGGGGAAGAAAUGAAACGUGCUAAUAUCACGUUUUCUUGACGGUACCCUCAAAGGAAGCACCGGCUAACUCCGUGCCAGCAGCCGCGGUAAUAC
rnacentral:rRNA from 1 species